AAAUGCGUCUAGUAUCAAAAU
rnacentral:miRNA from 1 species